rnacentral:sRNA from 1 species
UACAAGGUCACUUAGGGGUGACGCCAUUC